CGGACGGGUGAGUAAUGUCUGGGAAACUGCCCGAUGGAGGGGGAUAACUACUGGAAACGGUGGCUAAUACCGCAUAAUGUCUGCGGACCAAAGCGGGGGACCUCCGGGCCUCGCGCCAUCAGAUGAACCCAUAUGGGAUUAGCUUGUAGGUAAGGUAACGGCUUACCUAGGCGACGAUCCCUAGCUGGUCUGAGAGGAUGAUCAGCCACACUGGGACUGAGACACGGCCCAG
rnacentral:rRNA from 1 species